UACGAAGGGGGCUAGCGUUGCUCGGAAUGACUGGGCGUAAAGGGCGCGUAGGCGGACUGCACAGUCAGGCGUGAAAUUCCUGGGCUUAACCUGGGGACUGCGUCUGAGACAUGUGAUCUAGAGUGAGGAAGAGGGUCGUGGAAUUUCCAGUAUAGAGGUGAAAUUCGUAGAUAUUGGAAAGAACACCGGUGGCGAAGGCGGCGACCUGGUUCAUUACUGACGCUGAGACGCGAAAGCGUGGGGAGCAGACAGG
rnacentral:rRNA from 1 species